UACGGAGGGUGCAAGCGUUGUUCGGAAUUAUUGGGCGUAAAGCGCGCGCAGGCGGCUUGUUAAGUCGACGGGUGAAAUGCCGGGGCUCAACCCCGUGCCCGCCCGCGAUACUGGCAAGCUGGAGACAGGUAGAGGCGAGCGGAAUUCCGGGUGUAGCGGUGGAAUGCGUAGAGAUCCGGAAGAACACCAGAGGCGAAGGCGGCUCGCUGGGCCUGGUCUGACGCUGAGGCGCGAAAGCGUGGGGAGCGAACAGG
rnacentral:misc_RNA from 1 species